rnacentral:rRNA from 1 species
GACGAACGCUGGCGGCGUGCUUAACACAUGCAAGUCGAACGGCAAGGCACUGCUUUUGUGGGGUGCCCGAGUGGCGAACGGGUGCGUAACACGUGAGUAACCUGCCCUUGACUUUGGGAUAACUUCAGGAAACUGGGGCUAAUACCGGAUAGGAGCUCCUGUUGCAUGGUGGGGGGUGGAAAGUUUCGGCGGGUGGGGAUGGACUCGCGGCUUAUCAGCUUGCUGGUGGGGUAGUGGUUUACCAAGGCUUUGACGGGUCGCCGGCCUGGGAGGGUGACCGGCCACAAUGGGACUGAGGGACGGCCCAGACUCCAACGGGAGGCAGCAGUGGGGAAUAUUGCACAAUGGGCGGAAGCCUGAUGCAGCAACGCCGCGUGCGGGAUGACGGCCUUCGGGUUGUAAACCGCUUUCGCCUGUGACGAAGCGUGAGUGACGGUAAUGGGUAAAGAAGCACCGGCUAACUACGUG